GACAGAGGAUGCAAACGUUGCUCGGAUUUACUGGGCGUAAAGCGCGCGCAGGCGGUCCCGUAAGUCGGACGUGAAAGCCCAGGGCUCAACCUUGGAAGUGCGUCCGAUACUGCGAGACUGGAGUACUGGAGAGGAGAGCGGAAUUCCCGGUGUAGAGGUGAAAUUCGUAGAUAUCGGGAGGAACACCAGUGGCGAAGGCGGCUCUCUGGACAGAUACUGACGCUGAGGCGCGAAAGCGUGGGAAGCAAACAGG
rnacentral:rRNA from 1 species